rnacentral:rRNA from 1 species
GUGGGGAAUAUUGGACAAUGGGGGCAACCCUGAUCCAGCAAUGCCGCGUGUGUGAAGAAGGUCUUCGGAUCGUAAAGCACUUUCGACGGGGACGAUGAUGACGGUACCCGUAGAAGAAGCCCCGGCUAACUUCGUGCCAGCAGCCGCGGUAAUACGAAGGGGGCUAGCGUUGCUCGGAAUUACUGGGCGUAAAGGGCGCGUAGGCGGCUCUGUUAGUCAGGCGUGAAAUUCCUGGGCUUAACCUGGGGACUGCGCUUGAUACUGCGGAGCUUGAGGCCGAGAGAGGGUGGUGGAAUUCCCAGUGUAGAGGUGAAAUUCGUAGAUAUUGGGAAGAACACCGGUGGCGAAGGCGACCACCUGGCUCGGUACUGACGCUGAGGCGCGACAGCGUGGGGAGCAAACAGGAUUAGAAACCCCGGUAGUCC